rnacentral:rRNA from 1 species
UACGUAGGGUGCAAGCGUUAAUCGGAAUUACUGGGCGUAAAGCGUGCGCAGGCGGUUGGGCAAGACAGAUGUGAAAUCCCCGGGCUUAACCUGGGAACUGCAUUUGUGACUGCACGGCUAGAGUGCGGCAGAGGGGGAUGGAAUUCCGCGUGUAGCAGUGAAAUGCGUAGAUAUGCGGAGGAACACCGAUGGCGAAGGCAAUCCCCUGGGCCUGCACUGACGCUCAUGCACGAAAGCGUGGGGAGCAAACAGG